AGAUCCCUGAGAAUGGCCACAUUCACUGGUGUCAGAGCCAGGAUGUGAGGGUGAAGCCUGGUGCCAGAUGUGUGCCGUGAUUUGCCGUAAUCCUUGAAAUGCUGCUGCUACAUGACUGCACAAACUUUUUUCUGGGAAGGGCUGAUCGGAAGAGCAUACG